GAGACUAACCAGGAUUCCCCCAAGUAGCUGUGAGCAAAGAGGGAAGAGCCCAGCGCUGAAUUGCCCAUCCCCUUGCGGGCACAGGGAGUGUGUCGUACAGAAGUCUGUAAUCCCGGCGUGGCCCUGGAGGCCUAAGUCCUUCUGGUAGAGGCUCAGUCCGUGGAUGGUGUGAGGCCAAUAACAGCCCAUGGCCUCCCAGGGCACGGUCUUCUCAGAGUUGGGUUGUUUGGGAAUGCAGCCUAAAGCAGGUGGUAAAGUCCAUCUAAGGCUAAAUAGCGGCAUGGGACCAAUAGCGAGUACUGUAAGGGAAAAUUGAAUAGAACUUUGAAGAGAGAGUUCAACAGGGUGUGAAGCCAUUAAGAGGUAAACGGGUGAGGUCUGCCCGGGGGACUUAACCCAGCGGUGGGUCCUCCAUUUCCUCUGUGGCAGUGAACUGCGACCAACUCCGGUUCGGCUUGGAAGGGUCAGGGGGUGAAGGUGGCUCGCAACUGCAUGGCCUUGAGCUGUACAUUGCCCUUUCUCGUUGUAGAGCUCCCCCUCUGUCCGCGCCUUCCCCCCUCCUGUGGGGAUGGGGCCUCUCGACGUGGCUGUCGACCAGGCCGGACUGUCCUCUGUUCUUCGCCCAACCGGACCGGGCCACCAAGGGCGGGGACAGACCCACAUUCCAAAAGGGCGCUCGGGGUCCGCAUCGAUGACAGCCACCCCCGCCCCCCGUCUUGAAACACGGACCAAGGAG
rnacentral:rRNA from 1 species